rnacentral:rRNA from 1 species
CGCGCAGGCGGGCCGGCAAGUUGGAAGUGAAAUCCGGGGGCUUAACCCCCGAACCUGCUUUCAAAACUGCUGGUCUUGAGUGAUGGAGAGGCAGGCGGAAUUCCGUGUGUAGCGGUGAAAUGCGUAGAUAUACGGAGGAACACCAGUGGCGAAGGCGGCCUGCUGGACAUUAACUGACGCUGAGGCGCGAAAGCGUGGGGAGCAAACA